rnacentral:rRNA from 1 species
GACGAACGCUGGCGGCGUGCCUAAUACAUGCAAGUCGAACGAACGGAGACUAGGUGCUUGCCCUUGGUCAAGGUGGGUGGCGAACGAGUGAGUAACACAUGACUAACCUACAUGAUUGUGGUGGAUAACAGUAAGAAAAGACAGCUAAUGACGCAUAGGACAUCGGAACGGAUGAUUAUUUGAGGAAGGGUGGGGCAAGCUAUAGCUAAGAGAUGGAGCCGCGGUGCAUUAGCUAGUUGGUAGGGUAACGGCUUACCAAGGCGAUGAUGCAUAGCCGACCUGAGAGGGUGAUCGGCCACAUUGGGACUGAGACACGGUCCAGACUCCUACGGGAGGCAGCAGUAGGGAAUCUUCCGCAAUGGGCGAAAGCCUGACGGAGCAACGCCGCGUGAGUGAUGAAGGUCUUCGGAUCGUAAAACUCUGUUAUUAGGGAAGAACAUAGGUGUAAGUAACUGUUAACAGCUUGACGGUACCUAAUCAGAAAGCCACGGCUAACUACGUG